GCGGCUAUAGCUCAGCUGGAUAGAGCGCCUGGCUUCGGACCAGGAGGUCGGGGGUUCGAAUCCCUCUGGCCGCA
rnacentral:tRNA from 1 species